GACGAACGCUGGCGGCGUGCUUAACACAUGCAAGUCGAACGGAAAGGCCCUGCUUUUGUUGCGUUCUCGAUUGGCGAACGGGUGAGUAACACGUGAGUAACCUGCCCUUGACUUUGGGAUAACUUCAGGAAACUGGGGCUAAUACCGGAUAGGAGCUCCUGCUGCAUGGUGUUGGUUGGAAAGUUUCGGCGGUGGGGGAUGGACUCGCGGCUUAUCAGCUUGUUGGUGGGGUAGUGGCUUACCAAGGCUUUGACGGGUAGCCGGCCUGAGAGGGUGACCGGCCACAUUGGGACUGAGAUACGGCACAGACUCCUACGGGAGGCAGAAGUGGGGAAUAUUGCACAAUGGGCGGAAGCCUGAUGAAGCAACGCCGCGUGCGGGAUGACGGCCUUCGGGUUGUAAAACGAUUUCGCCUGUGACGAAGCGUGAGUGACGGUAAUGGGUAAAGAAGCACCGGCUAACUACGUG
rnacentral:rRNA from 1 species